rnacentral:rRNA from 1 species
GAUGAACGCUGGCGGCGUGCCUAAUACAUGCCAGUCGAGCGAACAGACGAGGAGCUUGCUCCUCUGACGUUAGCGGCGGACGGGUGAGUAACACGUGGAUAACCUACCUAUAAGACUGGGAUAACUUCGGGAAACCGGAGCUAAUACCGGAUAAUAUAUUGAACCGCAUGGUUCAAUAGUGAAAGACGGUUUUGCUGUCACUUAUAGAUGGAUCCGCGCCGCAUUAGCUAGUUGGUAAGGUAACGGCUUACCAAGGCAACGAUGCGUAGCCGACCUGAGAGGGUGAUCGGCCACGCUGGAACUGAGACACGGUCCAGACUCCUACGGGAGGCAGCAGUAGGGAAUCUUCCGCAAUGGGCGAAAGCUUGACGGAGCAACGCCGCGUGAGUGAUGAAGGUCUUCGGAUCGUAAAACUCUGUUAUUAGGGAAGAACAAAUGUGUAAGUAACUAUGCACGUCUUGACGGUACCUAAUCAGAAAGCCACGGCUAACUACGUG